UCUCUCGAGUUUAUCGCGCCGAAAGCGACGAGACGACGGGAUCGCGACUCGCGCGAUCUCGCCGAUCCUUCUUUGAGCGUUUAGCGUCCCGCGGACGCGUUUUCCCGCGAAAUCGCAGUCGGCGUCCCCUCCCGGGCUUCGCGACACGAGAGAGUGGCCGUCGAACAAAAUGGCCGUGGGCCGGCUCGAGGGAAAAUGAAAUUAUAAUCCGCUCCCAUCGCCCGUACACCGGAUGUCGAUCGCGUUCCCGCGCGAUCCUUCCGGCUCGCGCGAUUGCGACAUCUUCGAUGGUACGUUUCUUUUUUGCAUCCACCCCCGCGAACAGACGGAGUUUUCUUUCAUUAUUGUUCCUAGCGUACGAGAUGGAGUGCUUUUCUCUCUCUUUCUCUCUCUCUCUACUACGCCGCUCUCUUUGAGAAAGAAUUCGUUCGCGCGUCAUACCUUCUUCGCUUUGUUCUAUUUCUUUCUUCCUUUUUUUUCUUGUUUUUAUGUCCCGGCGAGUUCGUUUUUACCUUUGUGUUUCUUACUUUUUUUUAAAGUAAAAUACACGCGACAAAUCUAACAUUUUUUUACAGCUUUAUGUUUUAUUAUAUAUUUAUCGUGCGAUAUAUAUAUAUAUGGGAUAAAAUUAUAAUUGUGUGAAUUAUUGAAUACAAUUGCCCUUACAUAGUAAAUCUGAAAUAUAUUUUUACAUAUUGUUAGUUUUUUAUAAAUAAAAUAAGCCAAUUAACUCUCUUCUAGUUCUAUAAUUAACGGAAGGCAGAUACAAUUUCAUCAUUGAUAAAGUUUAAUAUAAUUUUGAAAUCCACACGUUUGAUCAGUUACGAGUCAUCCUUAUUCACAGUAACAGUUUACAGUCAAAUUCAGAUUAGUCAAUUGAUCAAAACGAUUGACAAAUACAUCCAAUGCUUGUCUGGGAUCUCUGAAUUGAGCUGCGAAGCUUGAUGAAAUGAACUUUGGGGUCGGAAUUAUUGCGAGCGAUCGAGCAUCGAAUUCUCAAGUUCAUCAUGUUCCGUGACAACACAAAUAUGCUGGAGUCAAGUCGAGUCAAAUGUUACUUGAGAUCAAAAUAUGUGUCGCAGUGACAUACUUGCCUGCUGGAUAUAAUACAGAGUAGAGUAAUUUCCGCUGAAUUAUGAAUAUUUGGAUUAUUUGGGCAUGAACAAAUGCGCAGAGACACUAGGGCCAAUGCAAACAUCUCCUAUAGGACCUCCGGAACGCCAUUAACGCAGUUUCUGUGACUUGGU